rnacentral:rRNA from 1 species
UACAGAGGAGGCAAGCGUUGUUCGGAAUCACUGGGCUUAAAGCGCGUGUAGGCGGCGCGAUAAGUGUUCUGUGAAAUCCCACGGCUCACCCGUGGAACUGCAGGGCAUACUGUCGUGCUUGAGGCAGGUAGGGGCCACUGGAACUCUCGGUGGAACGGUGAAAUGUGUAGAUAUCGGGAGGAACACCAGUAGCGAAGGCGACACUCUGGGCCGGUACUGACGCUGAGGAGCGAAAGCGUGGGGAGCAAACAGG